rnacentral:rRNA from 1 species
GACGGAGGGUGCAAGCGUUGUUCGGAUUGACUGGGCGUAAAGGGCGUGUAGGCGGUUGGUCAAGUCUGAUGUGAAAGCCCGGGGCUCAGCCCCGGAAGGGCAUCGGAAACUAGCCAGCUGGAGCGCGAUAGAGGAGGGUGGAAUUCCUGGUGUAGCGGUGAAAUGCGUAGAUAUCAGGAGGAACACCGGCGGCGAAGGCGGCCCUCUGGAUCGUUGCUGACGCUGAGACGCGAAAGCGUGGGGAGCGAACAGG